UACGGGGGGAGCAAGCGUUGUUCGGAAUUACUGGGCGUAAAGAGUUGCGUAGGUGGCAUAGUAAGUAAAUAGUGAAAGCGUGUGGCUCAACCAUACAUCCAUUAUUUAAACUGCUAAGCUAGAGAAUGAGAGAGGUUAUUGGAAUUCCCAGUGUAGGAGUGAAAUCCGUAGAUAUUGGGAGGAACACCGAUGGCGUAGGCAGAUAACUGGCUCAUUUCUGACACUAAGGCACGAAAGCGUGGGGAGCAAACGGG
rnacentral:rRNA from 1 species